rnacentral:rRNA from 1 species
CCUGGUUGAUCCUGCCAGUAGUCAUAUGCUUGUCUCAAAGAUUAAGCCAUGCAUGUCUAAGUUUAAGCGAUUUAAACAGCGAGACUGCGGACGGCUCAUUAUAUCAGUUAUAGUUUAUUUGAUGGUCGAUUGCUACAAGGAUAACCGUAGUAAUUCUAGAGCUAAUACUUGCACUUCAAAACAGUUUUCUGUUUGCACUUAUUAGAUUCCCCACCAAUGCCUUUUAGGCUUCGGUGAAUCAUAGUAAUUUAGCGGAUCCACAGCCUUCGGGCGCGACGCUUCAUUCAAAUUUCUGCCCUAUCAGCUUUCGAAGGUAGUGUAUUGGACUACCUUGGCUUUGACGGGUAACGGAGAAUUAGGGUUCGAUUCCGGAGAGGGAGCCUGAGAAACGGCUACCACAUCUAAGGAAGGCAGCAGGCGCGCAAAUUACCCAAUCCUGACACAGGGAGGUAGUGACAAGAAAUAACAAAGCAAGUCUCUCAGAGGCGCUGCGUUGGAAUGAGUAGAAUUUAAAUCUCUGUACGACCAUCAAUUGGAGGGCAAGUCUGGUGCCAGCAGCCGCGGUAAUUCCAGCUCCAAUAGCGUAUAUUAAAGUUGUUGCGGUUAAAAAGCUCGUAGUUGGAUUUCUGUUGAGGGCGACCGGUGUACACCUCGUGUAUUAUUUGGUUCGGUCUCGGCAUCCUCUUGGGGAACGUUUCUGGACUUUAUUGGACAGGGCGAGAUUCAAGACUUUUACUUUGAGGAAAUUAGAGUGUUCACGGCAGGCAAUCGCCUUGAAUAUGUUAGCAUGGAAUAAUAAUAUAGGCACGAGAUCCUAUUUUGUUGGUUUCUAGGAGCUCAUGAAUGAUAAAUAGGGACAGUUGGGGGCAUUCGUAUUACGGCGUCAGAGGUGGAAUUCUUAGAUUGCCGUACGACGAACUACUGCGAAAGCAUUUGCCAAGGAUGUUUUCAUUGAUCAAGAACGAAAGUCGAGGGAUCGAAGAUGAUUAGAUACCGUCGUAGUCUCGACCAUAAACUAUGCCAUCUA